ACAGAUGUUAUCUUGCUAUGUUGACCAGGCUGGUCUCCACCUCUUGAGCUCAAGUGAUCCUCUCACCUCAGCCUCCUAAGUAGUUGGGACUACAGGUGUGAGCAAACCACGCCUGACUUCUGUGCCUUAGUUUCCUCAACUAUCAAAGGGGGCUUAUAAUAGCACCGAUGUCACUAGGCUGUUUUGAGGAUUUAAGAGAGAGAGUGUAGGGGUAUUUUUCAGAACAUUGACUAUUUUGUGUGAUCAUGAUGUCUGUUGAUGACUAUGGAUGGAUAUGAGCUUCCAUCUAGCGGCCAGUGAUUUAUGGCAGGACCAGGGGCGAAUUAAAAGCUACAGAUGGAUUUUUUUUUUUUUUUUGGUCGCCCAGGCUGGAGUGCAGUGGCACAAU
rnacentral:lncRNA from 10 species